rnacentral:rRNA from 1 species
AUUGAACGCUGGCGGCAUGCCUUACACAUGCAAGUCGAACGGCAGCACGGGAGCAAUCCUGGUGGCGAGUGGCGAACGGGUGAGUAAUAUAUCGGAACGUGCCCAGUCGUGGGGAUAACGUAGCGAAAGCUACGCUAAUACCGCAUACGAUCUACGGAUGAAAGCGGGGGAUCGCAAGACCUCGCGCGAUUGGAGCGGCCGAUAUCAGAUUAGGUAGUUGGUGAGGUAAAGGCUCACCAAGCCGACGAUCUGUAGCUGGUCUGAGAGGACGACCAGCCACACUGGGACUGAGACACGGCCCAGACUCCUACGGGAGGCAGCAGUGGGGAAUUUUUGGGACAAUGGGCGCAAGCCUGAUCCAGCAAUGCCGCGUGCAGGAUGAAGGCCUUCGGGUUGUAAACUG